ensembl:snoRNA
CUGCACAGUGAACACACCUGAGGGCUUUAUAGUUCUCUUGGCUUUAAUUCUGUGCUAAAGCAACGGCUGUUCUUUUCCUCUGCAUUAAAAGGACUCCUUUAUCCUUUUAUAUGUAUUCAAAAGGUCAGCACAAAU